CCCGUGAACGCAGCGCAGAAUCAUCUACAAAUAGCAGGCAAAAUAGUGAGCGUGAGGCACAUCAAGAGAAAUGCCCUGGAGCACUACAACAGCAAUUUGCACCAGAACCUCAUGCCGCCAAUGAAAGACAAAUUACACCAAAAGCACUUCAGGCUGAUGCAGCUGUUCAGACAUCAUUAAUCUGCAGAGACUGGGGAACACAGGUCAACAUCCAAGGGAAGUCCUGUAGUAUUUCAACUGGCUGCUUUAUGCCACCACGGUCUUCGACACCAUUGCCAGAUUUGACAGAUGCACCUGAAGCGGAAAUUGCUGACAGUGAAAACAAGAAUCGAAAUGAUCCUUCCUUUGUCCUCUCUGAUGUCAGUUUGGCUGAAGACAGCACUGAUCACACAGCCAUGCCUCUUUAGGAAGAGAGGAAGUUCAUUAUUUUCGAAUCUACUCUGGAUGAACUGCAAUCGGUCUGCCCUCUGUGUUCACAUCCGUGUAGAGCAAAUGAUAAAAAUGUGAAAGCCACAUUAUUGCAGGUGACACGCAUGUGCAUAAACCACCAUGUUUCUAAAUGGGCAACACAGCCAAUAAUUAUUUGGAGGGCAGCUGGUAGCUUGCUUUUUUCUGCAGCAGUAUUUUUUUCAGGCUGCGAAGCUUCUAAGUUUUUUAGGGCACUCAGGAGUGUGGCUGUUGCCUGCCAGCAGUGACAAAACACACUUCAGAGUCCAAAAUGCAUUCCUCAUUCCUGCAGUCACCAAGGUACGUGGGUUCACCAAAGUGGUUAGGCCACGUACGUAACCAACCUUACAGUGUAUGCAUAUAGAUUCAUGAGCAGUACACGUUUACCACUUCAAUGUCUGGACACACUAACAAAAGGUCCUUUUUGAUGAAGCCAUUGGCCGUCCACUCCGGGUUGCUGGGGAUGCUAGGGUAAAUUUCCCUGGACAUUCCGCCACGUAUGGCACGUACUCUCUUCUGGACAUAGACCUGAACAAGGUGCUGCACAUCA